rnacentral:rRNA from 1 species
ACGGGAGGCAGCAGUGGGGAAUCUUGCACAAUGGGCGAAAGCCUGAUGCAGCAACGCCGCGUGCGGGAAGAAGGCCCUAGGGUUGUAAACCGCUUUCAGCAGGGAAGAAGAUGACGGUACCUGUAGAAGAAGGUGCGGCCAACUACGUGCCAGCAGCCGCGGUGACACGUAGGCACCAAGCGUUGUCCGGAUUUAUUGGGCGUAAAGAGCUCGUAGGCGGUUCGGUAAGUCGGGUGUGAAAACUCUGGGCUCAACCCAGAGCCGCCACCCGAUACUGCUGUGACUUGAGUUCGGUAGGGGAGCGGGGAAUUCCUGGUGUAGCGGUGAAAUGCGCAGAUAUCAGGAGGAACACCAGUGGCGAAGGCGCCGCUCUGGGCCGAGACUGACGCUGAGGAGCGAAAGCGUGGGUAGCAAACAGGAUUAGAUACCCUGGUA